AGUGAACGCUGGCGGUAGGCCUAACACAUGCAAGUCGAACGGCAGCACAGUAAGAGCUUGCUCUUACGGGUGGCGAGUGGCGGACGGGUGAGGAAUACAUCGGAAUCUACUUUUUCGUGGGGGAUAACGUAGGGAAACUUACGCUAAUACCGCAUACGACCUACGGGUGAAAGCAGGGGAUCUUCGGACCUUGCGCGAUUGAAUGCGCCGAUGUCGGAUUAGCUAGUUGGCGGGGUAAAGGCCCACCAAGGCGACGAUCCGUAGCUGGUCUGAGAGGAUGAUAAGCCACACGAGAACUGAGACACGGUCCAGAGUCCUACGGGAGGGAGCAGUGGGGAAUAGUGGACAAUGGGCGCAAGCAUGAUCCAGCCAUACCGCGUGGGUGAAGAAGGCCUUCGGGUUGUAAAGCCCUUUUGUUGGGAAAGAAAAGCAGCAGGUUAAUACCACGCUGUUCUGACGGUACCCAAAGAAUAAGCACCGGCUAACUUCGUG
rnacentral:rRNA from 1 species